rnacentral:rRNA from 1 species
UUCGGAGGUNCUCGAGUGGCGAACGGGUGAGUAACACGUGGGUAAUCUGCCCUGCACUUUGGGAUAAGCCUGGGAAACUGGGUCUAAUACCGGAUAGGACCUUUUGGCGCAUGCCUUUUGGUGGAAAGCUUUUGCGGUGUGGGAUGGGCCCGCGGCCUAUCAGCUUGUUGGUGGGGUGACGGCCUACCAAGGCGACGACGGGUAGCCGGCCUGAGAGGGUGUCCGGCCACACUGGGACUGAGAUACGGCCCAGACUCCUACGGGAGGCAGCAGUGGGGAAUAUUGCACAAUGGGCGCAAGCCUGAUGCAGCGACGCCGCGUGGGGGAUGACGGCCUUUCGGGUUGUAAACCUCUUUCAGCAGGGACGAAGCGCAAGUGACGGUACCUGCAGAAGAAGCACCGGCCAACUACGUGCCAGCAGCCGCGGUAAUACGUAGGGUGCGAGCGUUGUCCGGAAUUACUGGGCGUAAAGAGCUCGUAGGUGGUUUGUCGCGUUGUUCGUGAAAACCGGGGGCUUAACCCUCGGCGUGCGGGCGAUACGGGCAGACUGGAGUACUGCAGGGGAGACUGGAAUUCCUGGUGUAGCGGUGGAAUGCGCAGAUAUCAGGAGGAACACCGGUGGCGAAGGCGGGUCUCUGGGCAGUAACUGACGCUGAGGAGCGAAAGCGUGGGGAGCGAACAGGAUUAGAUACCCUGGUAGUCCACGCCGUAAACGGUGGGUACUAGGUGUGGGUUUCCUUCCUUGGAAUCCGUGCCGUAGCUAACGCAUUAAGUACCCCGCCUGGGGAGUACGGCCGCAAGGCUAAAACUCAAAGGAAUUGACGGGGGCCCGCACAAGCGGCGGAGCAUGUGGAUUAAUUCGAUGCAACGCGAAGAACCUUACCUGGGUUUGACAUGCACAGGACGCCGGCAGAGAUGUCGGUUCCCUUGUGGCCUGUGUGCAGGUGGUGCAUGGCUGUCGUCAGCUCGUGUCGUGAGAUGUUGGGUUAAGUCCCGCAACGAGCGCAACCCUUGUCUCAUGUUGCCAGCGGGUAAUGCCGGGGACUCGUGAGAGACUGCCGGGGUCAACUCGGAGGAAGGUGGGGAUGACGUCAAGUCAUCAUGCCCCUUAUGUCCAGGGCUUCACACAUGCUACAAUGGCCGGUACAAAGGGCUGCGAUGCCGUAAGGUUAAGCGAAUCCUUUUAAAGCCGGUCUCAGUUCGGAUCGGGGUCUGCAACUCGACCCCGUGAAGUCGGAGUCGCUAGUAAUCGCAGAUCAGCAACGCUGCGGUGAAUACGUUCCCGGGCCUUGUACACACCGCCCGUCACGUCAUGAAAGUCGGUNACACCCGAAGCC